rnacentral:lncRNA from 10 species
UGCAGAUGGAUAGGAAAGGUUCUCUGGCAUCUUUCUAUAAACUUACGAGGAUGCUGGCCAUGAUGAUGGUGGCGGUGGUAAGGGGAGUUCCUCUGACUCCGACCUCAUGUCUUUGGCAGGAGUUGAAAUGAAUAAUAAAGCUGGGUUUAUGAUUAGAUAGAAUACCAGAGCAGAGAGAGCAGUUAGAGGGAGAAGCUGUCUUAUUUUAGGAAGCAUGAUGACUUAUUUUUUCAAAAUCUGAAUUCGAUAUUCCCCUUUGCUAAGAAUUGGUGUGGGUUUUGUUGUUGUUGUUUGUUUCUUAACAAAAUAAAAGAGAAGAAGAUUCCCAUAAGCAGAGCUUAAUCAUUUAAAUCUAAAAAGGCAAUCAGCAGUUGAUUUUAGGGUGGCAGGGUCCUGCCAAGGCCUUAGGAGAAGGCCGAGGGAAACCUCCCAAGCCUUGGAUAACUAGCCUGGAGGGUGUGCAGGUUUCCUCCAGCUUGGGCACAUCUGCCUUGCCCCAUAGAGAAUGUUAACAAGAUACCUGCUGUUUUCCCUUCUGCCUCUAUGCAGGACAGCUUCUGAAAUCCUAAACUGCACAGGGUGUCACUCCAAAAACAGACAGAUAGUAGCUGCUAAAUUAGAGAACCCAGAGGGCACAAGGUUGGGUUUUGUUUUUCUAGGAAAGAGUGUAAAACUGGAGUGUCUGACUAGUGCCCCGGAUAGGGAGGCUUAAUAGGUUUGGGGUAACUCAUCCCCAUGAGCUCUGCUCUACUCUCAUCCACACCUGCCAGAAGGGGUCAGGGUGAAGCCGAUGGACAGCAGUGCUGACCCGCAUGCAGUGGACUUUCCAUGAAUAACACCCAAGGCUGACUACAGAUGUUUAGGUGGGGGUGCCGAGGGAGGGUUACUUGGCUGACUAGAAUUAGGGACAGCCGUGUGCAAAUUGCUUUUUUAGGGCCAGAGAGGCUGAGGCUGCUGGCUUCCAGUCACACAGCCUACAGGACAGCCCCUGAUUUCACAAGAGCAGGUUUCUGAUGCAUGAUCUAGCCCCACCCCUUCUUCACAGGCAGCUGUACUUGGAAGCAAAUGAUUUAGUGUUCCUGAGAGAGGAUUGUACAAAGAGAGUACUCAUUAGAGGGGGCUCAAUCUGUCAGGUGCUGUUAUAUUAGGAUCAGAGAGUCAUCAUAAAAUGACUUUCAUGCUGGUCUUGGCUGAUAAUUAACUGCAUGGCAUCGCCUGCGUAUUGUAGAGAGGCAAGGGUGCUGAUUUAUGCAUCCGUUUAAUUAUCUGAAUUGAAAGACUCUGUUCCCUGUAUUUGCAUCCACUGCCUGCGUGCUUUCUCUCUCCCCCAUAUUUCUGACAUUUGGAUUUUCCCCCUACUAAUUGACAUGCCUGUCGCCUCCUUCUCCUGGUGUCCAUUUCUGGAACUGCUAUUUGUAUAUUGCAUGAUAUUUUAUCAGGAAAAAAUAUAAAACAGAUCUAAUUUCAUGAAAAUGCUGUUGCCAUAAUGCUCAGGAGAACAGGGGGAAGAGAGAGAUUCAAGUCUUCCUAAUGUCUACCUUAUAUGCAGAGCCUUGGAAAGAUGGGCAAAUGCUCUGUGACAAGCCACCAGGGUAGACUGGUACUGAAAAGACCCUACUACACACAGGGGCUCUGUCCCUGGCUGGAAAGUUACAAGUCAGCCUACCUCUCUGUGAUCUGGUUUCCACACCUACUACUCUUUAUCCCAUGAGGAGCUUCUGGAAACUAAAAUAGGUACGUAAUCAAAACCAAAAGAAGACAUUGGUUCAAGGAUCCUCAAGAGCUCAGCAUCAUGUUUCUGUUGUUUCUUUUUGAAUAGACAAAAUUCUCAGUGUUCAGUAGCUACACACACACACACACACACACACACAAACACACACACCCCACACACAAAAGUAGCAUCUCCACAAUGUUGCAUGCAUCAGGAAAGCAAAUGUUUUUACCACAGGCUGGCUAUGCCUCAUCCUCUUAAACUAGCAUCUUGAGGUCUUUGCAGAAGCCAUUUUAUAGAUGCCUACACUCAUCCCAUUACUUGCAUUCUCAUCCUGAGGGUAUUUUAAGGAGUCAAAAUAAAGUUUACUUAGGCGUGUGUGAGAGACAGAAUGAUAGACCAAAAGAGAAGGCUAGGGCUUCGUAAUAUUUAGAUAAUGAUGAAACUGAAAUGGCUGAUGCAGAGUGCAGUAAUUAUAUAGGAUACUUUAUUAUUUGGGUUCACCUUUGCUCAGUAGUGAAUUAUAAGCACUCUACUAGGUGAGAGGUUUGGCUUCCAAAAUGAACAGCUGGCGCAGGAUGGAACUGUCAGACCAUGUCACAUGAUAAAUAAAAUAAUACAUAGAAACUUUAGGAUCUCCUAAUUGGAAGCUUCCUUUAGACAACAAAAGAUGCCAGGCUAUCUGCUGCCCCCUAACUGGUACCAUGAAGAACAGCACAUAACUUUUUAAGAAACAAAGUCUGAUUCAGGUACAAUUAGUUAGUGGCUGAGUCAACCUCCUAAGUUAUAGUUGUGAAUUUGGCCAUUUCCAUGAACCUGUUUGUUGCGAUUAAGGCAAAGUCAUCGGGUAGAGUCUGUUUUGUUUCUGUCUUUUCCUGAUGGAGAGGCACUCCUGAUUUGCAGCAGCUGCCCAGGUAGAAGAGUGUUGACCAAAGGACACAUCACCAGCACAGACUGUUAAUCAUGUGACUAGAGAAAACUCUCAUGGUGGCAUUCAAAUUUCCAUAUCCUUCUUCUAUGGAAAUUUCUGAGAGACCCAGAAAAGAAGCGUAACGACGAGGGAAAGUGAUUCCUGCAGACCUGAACAUUCCAGACUUACCAGGUGAUCCAGCUGUCUGUCAGCGGGAAGAGGCUGAGGCGCCCCCUUCUGGUGCAUCUGAAUAGUAAGAAACCCUGUGUAGAAAGAAACCCUGUAGCAAUUGGGCACCUUCUCCGUGAUCUGUCUGCUUCCAAUACCAAAAAUUGUUGCUUUUUAAAUGACAUCCAUCCUAAGCUUAAAAAAGACGCAUAUUAUUUGUAUAAAAUGUUGAAGACGCAGAACAAAAAAUGUAAAUCACAUGUAAUCAUCCCUUCCAGAAAUAAUCGUUAUUAAAAUUUCUGUGUAUGUGUAAAAAAAAAAAUUGCAAUCCUACUGUAAUAUAAUCCUGUAUACUGAUAUUUUUCACCUAUCACUGUAUGUUGAGCAUUUUCAAUAGUCAAAUUAUUUCUUGAAAAUAUUAAUGACUGGGGAGUAACCUUUCAAAUAGGUGUGUCUUUAUUUUUAAACCAGUCCACAAUUAUUGUAUAUUGAAGUCAUUUCCCAAAUUUUGUAAGUAUAAGUAUUGCAUCCAUCCUUAUAUGUAUUUAAAUGCAUCUCUUAUUAUUUCCUUGAGAUAAGUUCCUAGAAGUGGAAUCACUGGAUUUAAAAAUGUGGACAUAUUUAUGCCAGACGCGGUGGGUCAUGCCUGUAAUCCCAGCACUUUGGGAGACUGAAGCAGGUGGAUCACUUGAGGUCAGGAGUUCAAGACCAGCCUGGCCAACAUAGUGAAACCCCAUCUCUACUAAAAUUACAAAAAUUAGCCGGGUGUGGUAGUGCACGCCUGUAAUCCCAGCUACUCAGGAGGCUGAGGCAUAAGAAUCACUUGAACUCAGGAGGCGGAGGUUGCAGUGAGCCAAGAUGGCACCACUGCGCUCCAGUCUGGGCGACAGAGUAAGACUUCAUCUCAAAAAUAAAUAAAUAAAAUUAAAAUUAAAUAAGAUAAAUAAAAAAUAAAAAUGUGGACAUAUUUAAAUCUUCAUAUAUAUUACCAAAUGCCCUCCUGAAAGUUUUUACCUGUUACAUUCCAACCAAUAGUGUAAGGGCAUGACUCUUUCCCUGUGUUUUGGGAUGGAUGUUAUCAAAGUUCUCUCCCACCCAGGCCAAGUAUGGUAUAUGCUUUGAUUUAAUUUGAAUUUUUAAAUUAUUAUUUAAAAUGGACAUUUUGUUGUCCAUUUGAACAACUUUCUUUUGAGUCACUGUUCAUGUUCUUUGCCCAUUGUUUCUCUUUUAUUAGUAAGAACCCUAUUGUCAUUUUUAUAUUUUAAAUAAAAUUUCAUUGUAUAUACAUUUAUAUUAUCUAUAGUAAAGUAUAUUUUAUUAUUAAUGAGAACUUU